AUUCCAGCUCCAAUAGCGUAUAUUAAAGUUGUUGCAGUUAAAACGCUCGUAGUCGGAUUUCGGGGCGGGCCGACCGGUCUGCCGAUGGGUAUGCACUGGCCGGCGCGUCCUUCCACCCGGAGACCGCGCCUACUCUUAACUGAGCGGGCGCGGGAGACGGGUCUUUUACUUUGAAAAAAUCAGAGUGUUUCAAGCAGGCAGUCGCUCUUGCAUGGAUUAGCAUGGGAUAAUGAAAUAGGACUCUGGUGCUAUUUUGUUCGUUUCUAGGACCGAAGUAAUGAUUAAUAGGGACAGUUGGGGGCAUUCAUAUUCCAUUGUCAGAGGUGAAAUUCUUGGAUUAACGGAGGAUGAACUUCUGCGAAAGCAUCUGCCAAGGAUGUUUUCAUCG
rnacentral:rRNA from 1 species